UCGAACGCCAGCGAAAGGUGCUUGCACCUUUCAAGUGAGUGGCGAACGGCCGAGUAACACGUGGACAACCUGCCUCAAGGCUGGGGAUAACAUUUGGAAACAGAUGCUAAUACCGAAUAAAACUUAGUGUCGCAUGACACAAAGUUAAAAGGCGCUUCGGCGUCACCUAGAGAUGGAUCCGCGGUGCAUUAGUUAGUUGGUGGGGUAAAGGCCUACCAAGACAAUGAUGCAUAGCCGAGUUGAGAGACUGAUCGGCCACAUUGGGACUGAGACACGGCCCAAACUCCUACGGGAGGCUGCAGUAGGGAAUCUUCCACAAUGGGCGAAAGCCUGAUGGAGCAACGCCGCGUGUGUGAUGAAGGCUUUCGGGUCGUAAAGCACUGUUGUAUGGGAAGAACAGCUAGAAUAGGAAAUGAUUUUAGUUUGACGGUACCAUACCAGAAAGGGACGGCUAAAUACGUGCCAGCAGCCGCGGUAAUACGUAUGUCCCGAGCGUUAUCCGGAUUUAUUGGGCGUAAAGCGAGCGCAGACGGUUUAUUAAGUCUGAUGUGAAAGCCCGGAGCUCAACUCCGGAAUGGCAUUGGAAACUGGUUAACUUGAGUGCAGUAGAGGUAAGUGGAACUCCAUGUGUAGCGGUGGAAUGCGUAGAUAUAUGGAAGAACACCAGUGGCGAAGGCGGCUUACUGGACUGCAACUGACGUUGAGGCUCGAAAGUGUGGGUAGCAAACAGGAUUAGAUACCCUGGUAGUCCACACCGUAAACGAUGCACACUAGGUGUUAGGAGGUUUCCGCCUCUUAGUGCCGAAGCUAACGCAUUAAGUGUUCCGCCUGGGGAGUACGACCGCAA
rnacentral:rRNA from 1 species